rnacentral:lncRNA from 1 species
AGAUCAAUAAAAAUUAUCACUAAGCAUCCUCCCUCCCUGGGCUUCGGGUUCCAGAAAACAACCCUUGUCCCCCAGCCCCAACUACCUAUCUGUGAAUAUACAGCAAGUGCCCCCUUGGCCUAAUUAACUAACCUCUCUGAGCCCCUGUUCUUUCUUUCCUCCAAUUAUAAAGGCCAUAAAUGCUCAUUACAGAAAAAUUGAAAACUACAGGAAAAUAGAAGGAAGAAAAGGUCACCUGCCUUAUUUAACACACAUAUUUUCUCUAUAAGGUACAUCGCAGCCUUACUAUCUGAGCGUCAUCACUGUUAACACUUUCGAGUUUUCCUUCUGGCCUUCGUUCCAUGCCUACACUUUUUCACAUAUGUAAGGAAAGACCACCUUCUUCCCAGCAAGAAACAGUAUUGGUCAUCUUGGGAGCUUCUGCUGCUGGUGGCCUAGAGAGCCAGAUGAAGGAGUAGAGAAAUGGCAGCUGACUGCAGGAUGGUACAAGAAGGGGAGGAGAGGAGAGAUACAUCCAGAAGCUGGAAACUAGUUCAGCCCUUUGAUGUCAUCCUCUAAGGAGACAGAGCAGAAUGGAGAAAACAGCAGCAGCAGAUCAGUUUUGAACCCUUGACACUGUCAAGUGGUGACCAGAAUUCAAGGCUAAAGAACAAGCCAACAAGCAUGUAAGUAGGUGAUAGCAGAGAGAGAGGAUGGGCUGGCUGAGGAAGAAAAGCAGUGCAACCCCUGGGAACACCUCCUCCUCCAACUGUCUGAGACACAAGCCAUCAACCCCAGGAGUCACACAGAAUGAGUCACAGAAUGGGUCACACGACAGCUUCAAAAGUCAGGUGAUGUGAUGAAUGUAAAAAUGCUUUAACAAAGAAGAAAAUGGCAUACAACAUCAUCUAGUUUCAUAGGAAUAUCCAACAGUGAUAUGUUUUUUUCAAUAAUGUCAGCUGUUAAAUCAAGUUUACCUAAAGCUGCCUCCUUACAUUUGUAAGUUCAGCCUAAAGGUUUCUCUGUACAUCGUGAACUAUAACAAGUGGAGGUGUAAACAGACCAUAGCCUACACUUAACGCCAAUCACCAAGUUUUGGCCAAUCAAAUGUAGCCAUCCGUUUGAACCAUGGUUCAAAUAAGGCAAACAUCCAGCUGUAACCAACCAGGCUGUUUCUGUACUUCAUUUCUGUUUUCUGUCCAUCACUUUCCUUUUACUUUUUUUUUUU